rnacentral:rRNA from 1 species
UACGUAGGGGGCGAGCGUUGUCCGGAUUAUUGGGCGUAAACGCUUGUAGGCGGCCACCGCGCGUCGGACGUGAAAUCUCCCGGCUCAACUGGGAGGGGUCGUGCGAUACGGCGGGGCUCGAGGCCGGUAGGGGGACGCGGAAUUCCCGGUGUAGUGGUGGAAUGCGUAGAUAGUCGGGAGGAACACCAGUGGCGCGAGGCGGCGUCCGUGGACCGGCACUGACGCUGAGGAGCGAAAGGCCGUGGGGAGGCGAUCCGG